rnacentral:rRNA from 1 species
GAUCAUGGCUCAGGAUGAACGCUAGCGGCAGGCCUAACACAUGCAAGUCGAGGGGCAUCGGGGAUUGAAGGCUUGCUUCAAUUGCCGGCGACCGGCGCACGGGUGCGUAACGCGUAUGUAACCUACCUAUAACAGGGGCGAUAACACUGAGAAAUUGGUACUAAUUCCCCAUAAUAUUCGGAGAGGCAUCUCGUCCGGGUUGAAAACUCCGGUGGUUAUAGAUGGACAUGCGUUGUAUUAG